rnacentral:lncRNA from 1 species
CAAUACAUUGUUAAAAUUUAAACCUAUCAAUAUUUACUUUCUCUUCACCUGUACAUUAUAAAUUAUUCUGCACACUUCGUGUGCAGUUCUGUGAUCAAGGUUCAGCAUCGGACACACAAUCUACACUCGUGGCUUGCCGGUAACGAGGAAAUUCAACCGAGUAAUCAGGUAAAUCCAGUAUUUCCCCUGCAUCGAAAACUGCAAACUC